CAGCAGCCGCGGUAAUACGAAGGGGGCUAGCGUUGUUCGGAAUUACUGGGCGUAAAGGGCGCGUAGGCGGCCAUUCAAGUUAGAUGUGAAAGCCCUGGGCUCAACCUAGGAAUUGCAUUUGAUACUGUUUGGCUUGAGUUCGGGAGAGGUGAGAGGAAUUCCCAGUGUAGAGGUGAAAUUCGUAGAUAUUGGGAAGAACACCAGUGGCGAAGGCGGCUCACUGGACCGACACUGACGCUAAGGCGCGAAAGCGUGGGGAGCAAACAGGAUUAGAUACCCCAGUAGUCCCUGUCUCUUAUAC
rnacentral:rRNA from 1 species